UACGUAGGCAGCAAGCGUUGUUCGGAGUUACUGGGCGUAAAGGGUGUGUAGGCGGUUGUUUAAGUUUGGUGUGAAAUCUCCCGGCUUAACCGGGAGGGUGCGCCGAAUACUGAAUGACUUGGAGUGCGGGAGAGGAAAGUGGAAUUCCUGGUGUAGCGGUGAAAUGCGUAGAUAUCAGGAGGAACACCGGUGGUGUAGACGGCUUUCUGGACCGUAACUGACGCUGAGACACGAAAGCCAGGGGAGCGAACGGG
rnacentral:rRNA from 1 species